GAUGAAGAACGUAGUGAAAUGCGAUACGUAGUGUGAAUUGCAGAAUUCAGUGAAUCAUCGAAUCUUUGAACGCACAUUGCACCUCUCGGUAUUCCGGGAGGUAUGCCUGUUCGAGCGUCAAUUGUACCCUCAAGCUCUGCUUGGUGUUGGGUGUUUGUUCCGCCUCUGUGUGUGAACUCGCCUCAAAACAAUUGGCAGCCGGCGUACUUGUUUCGGAGCGCAGCACAUUUUGCGAUCCAGAUCAACGUACAGCGGCAUCCAAGAAGCCUUAUUUAACGCUCUUGACCUCGGAUCAGGUAGGGAUACCCGCUGAACUUAAGCAUAUCAAUAAGCGGAGGA
rnacentral:misc_RNA from 1 species